rnacentral:lncRNA from 1 species
AAUCCCAAAUUACCUGAAAGGUGAAAGCCUGCGGAAGCUUGCAACCGAUUUGGGUAGAGAUGGAUGGGAUUUAGGCUUGGUGCUGGGAUUCACGGUGGGUGAACUGCAAAUCUUCAAGAUAGAUAACAAAGAUAAUAAACGGGAGGAGACAAGGAGCAUGCUGGCAGAAUACAUCGAACGCACUGCCAAGGGCGACGUGCUUGGUGGGCUACUUGGGGGACUUAGAGCAAUUGGUCGCAACAACUUAUGCAUCAAACUGGAGAAAGCAGCUGAGGACGAGGGUGAUUUCAAGUAGACAACUACAGAUGCCACUUCAUUAGUCUCAUAGAGGUCUAGUAGAAGUAGUCUUUUUAAUAUGUAAGUGAUUUUUUUACACGUAUCUUCUUAGUGACAGAUCGUUAGAUUUUGUGCAAUCCCAUGAAAAUUCUAAUUUAGAAAGUAGACUCAUUGCAAACUUUCUCCUUCAAAUUUUACAUUAAAGUAUGCUGAUAUCAGUACCCUCUCUAAAUCCUCGACAGAGUUGCCGUCCCAUACGUCCCGGACAAGGUUGUUUUUUUUUAAAUCUUUUAACAACAUAGGUGGGAAAAAACAGUGUCGGCUGAGAUUUUACUGCCCACCCGCAACGAUUCUUGCAUGAUUUGUGUCCAACUUGAGUCAUUUACCCAACAAUAAUAGAAUAUGUUUCUUGCACCAAAAACCAAGUGUUUCGAUUUUUUCCAAUAGUCAAGCGAAAUACUUGUAUCCAAUGUUGGAAGAAAAUGGCCCACUUCUCUUGCACAUCCUUAUUCAAGAAGUGAACGCACAAGUCUCAAACAUUACCUGUUUCAGACAAACACAUAUUUAUUCUCUUAUUCUUUUUACUAAUUGUUAUGCCCCAGUUGUUUUUUAAUAACAGCUGCAGAAUGGAGAGGACCUAUCAAGCAUCUGACAUUUUCGGCCAUUGAUUCAAGCAUUAGUGAAACUGGAAAUAUUGCCAAAGUCCUCUUUCAUAACUACAGUUGAUGAGGAGGGGUAGACAUACUGGCGCUGCGAUAGACUUAGCUGGAAAUAAGGCCUCAACUUGCACUUGACACUUGGAGAAAGUAAUAAGGCAGGAUUAUUCAUAAUUUGUUCUUAAAGAAUGAUUAAUGUUGUAAUUUCGUUAAUAAUGAGAAUACAGAAUUCCUAAGGGUUUUAGGCUAGACAUAUUGCAAAUGAAGAGGCAACAUUCUUAAGUACAUAGAAUAUUAUCCAGUACGUCGUAAACCAAAAGUGGUACUUUGUCCAACUUUUUUUUGACGGCAGUCUAGUUAACAUUAUACAUUACAUUUAAAUCGUUUCAACUUUUCUAUGGACGUCCUACGCAUUCUUUUUUAUUCUCGUUUUGCAUAUUCAUUCCAGUAGCAGAAAAAAAUAGAAAGAUUUUACUAUGAGGAAGUCAGAGUCAGUUUGGCAUAAUCUACUCACGACAAACAAGCUUCGAUCAUUACAUCCUGGCUGAAGAAUUCCACUUAAGGCUACAAGAAACAUGUACACGAAAGGGGUCUUUUAAGAAGCCGGGAGCGAAAAGGUUAAUUAAAAAGAAGGGGCCAACCUCACUUAUUGCCACUCUUUGGUCAGAUUUGAAAACGACAAGGCUCUACAGCCCAUCAGGUGUUUUGCCCUUCACCACCGUUCUUUUUUUUUAUGGACACUGGAUUAAAUCAAUGUUCUUCCAAAUCUUGUGAAACAAAUCACCACCUUUCUUUGGUGGGACUCGGACCCACGACCUCCUGCUUACCAGUGUAGACGUCUUACGACUCGACCACUGAGCCUGCCGGUACUGGUGGGCCGGUUCGAAUCUGAAGAGCAACGGGUGAUGGUUAAGAUGGUUACAGUGUUUACACAAUAACAAAUACACGUCGGUGAAGGGUAAAGCAUCCGACAUUAAACUUAGCAUCUUCACGACUCAAAACAGUUUACCAGUACUCUGUUAUAAUUGAAAUGAACUUACAAUCUCUGUACAGCAGGUGUAUACAUGUAGUUGUCAAUUCUUUACAAUGUGACAGUUGGACAGCACCGCCAUGUAGAAGUAUUUUUUUUCAGAAAAUAUAAACUACUACAGAUUACGUGGGGUAUUGUAGAUAAAACGGGAGGUUGCGCAGUGCAAGUUGUGAAUUCUCACCGCGAUAUACUUGUAUUAAUAAGUCCGUGGAAAUAUUUUGAUGUUCAGCAUUGGUAAAAUUGUAUUGCAAUAUAAAAAUACUGCUCGUGCCAUUUUUUGACAGAAACCAAAAGCCCUGGCUUAAAAAGGUUUCCCUACCAUGCCAGUAGGAUCUGAUGUCUCAAAGUAGGUCUUUAAUGAAAAAUUAGGUUGCUCAUUUAAAUAUAGUAAAGCAAAAAAGCGUAUAAACGUAGUAUUAAGAGUAGUGAAUCAUCUGAGGUUCCAGUUACAAAUAAAAUUAUAAUUAGCAUUAUCAAGUUAGUCUCAAAAUUCAUAAAAUCAGAAAUAUUUGGCAGGUUAUUUAAAACUGUAAGCACCGAAUUGCAGAAAGAAUUACCCUCUUUAGAAAAGUACUUUAUUAUUUCAAACCAUGUCACUUCCUUCGCAGAUAUUGUCCAACAGUAAUUUAGAGUACAUGUAGGAGUACGACGACUGAACUACGACUAUUGUCACUAAUUAUGGCGGACGAAA